AGACUCAGUGAAAUUGAACUCGCUGUGAAGAUGCAGUGUACCCGCGGCAAGACGGAAAGACCCCGUGAACCUUUACUAUAGCUUGACACUGAACAUUGAGCCUUGAUGUGUAGGAUAGGUGGGAGGCUUAGAAGUGUGGACGCCAGUCUGCAUGGAGCCGACCUUGAAAUACCACCCUUUAAUGUUUGAUGUUCUAACGUUGACCCGUAAUCCGGGUUGCGGACAGUGUCUGGUGGGUAGUUUGACUGGGGCGGUCUCCUCCUAAAGAGUAACGGAGGAGCACGAAGGUUGGCUAAUCCUGGUCGGACAUCAGGAGGUUAGUGCAAUGGCAUAAGCCAGCUUGACUGCGAGCGUGACGGCGCGAGCAGGUGCGAAAGCAGGUCAUAGUGAUCCGGUGGUUCUGAAUGGAAGGGCCAUCGCUCAACGGAUAAAAGGUACUCCGGGGAUAACAGGCUGAUACCGCCCAAGAGUUCAUAUCGACGGCGGUGUUUGGCACCUCGAUGUCGGCUCAUCACAUCCUGGGGCUGAAGUAGGUCCCAAGGGUAUGGCUGUUCGCCAUUUAAAGUGGUACGCGAGCUGGGUUUAGAACGUCGUGAGACAGUUCGGUCCCUAUCUGCCGUGG
rnacentral:rRNA from 1 species